rnacentral:rRNA from 1 species
GACAGAGGGUGCAAGCGUUGUUCGGAAUCAUUGGGCGUAAAGGGCGCGUAGGCGGUCUUGCAAGUCGAAUGUGAAAGCCCAGGGCUCAACCUUGGAAGUGCAUCCGAAACCGCGAGACUCGAGUCCCGGAGAGGGUGGUGGAAUUCCCAGUGUAGAGGUGAAAUUCGUAGAUAUUGGGAGGAACACCGGUGGCGAAGGCGACCGCCUGGACGGAGACUGACGCUGAGGCGCGAGAGCGUGGGGAGCAAACAGG